UGGGGAAUAUUGCACAAUGGGCGCAAGCCUGAUGCAGCCAUGCCGCGUGUGUGAAGAAGGCCUUCGGGUUGUAAAGCACUUUCAGCGGGGAGGAAGGCGGUGAGGUUAAUAACCUCACCGAUUGACGUUACCCGCAGAAGAAGCACCGGCUAACUCCGUGCCAGCAGCCGCGGUAAUACGGAGGGUGCAAGCGUUAAUCGGAAUUACUGGGCGUAAAGCGCACGCAGGCGGUUGAUUGAGUCAGAUGUUAAAUCCCCGGGCUUAACCCGGGAAUUGCAUCUGAUACUGGUCAGCUAGAGUCUUGUAGAGGGGGGUAGAAUUCCAUGUGUAGCGGUGAAAUGCGUAGAGAUGUGGAGGAAUACCGGUGGCGAAGGCGGCCCCCUGGACAAAGACUGACGCUCAGGUGCGAAAGCGUGGGGAGCAAACAGG
rnacentral:rRNA from 1 species